rnacentral:rRNA from 1 species
AUACGUAGGUGGCAAGCGUUAUCCGGAAUUAUUGGGCGUAAAGAGGGAGCAGGCGGCAGCAAGGGUCUGUGGUGAAAGCCUGAAGCUUAACUUCAGUAAGCCAUAGAAACCAGGCAGCUAGAGUGCAGGAGAGGAUCGUGGAAUUCCAUGUGUAGCGGUGAAAUGCGUAGAUAUAUGGAGGAAAACCAGUGGCGAAGGCGACGAUCUGGCCUGCAACUAACGCUCAGUCCCGAAAGCGUGGGGAGAAAAUAGUAUUAGAUACCCUAGUAGUCCACGCCGUAAACGAUGAGUACUAAGUGUUGGAUGUCAAAGUUCAGUGCUGCAGUUAACGCAAUAAGUACUCCGCCUGAGUAGUACGUUCGCGAGAAUGAAACUCAAAUGAAUUGGCGGGG